AUUACGUGCUUAAUAGAACUAUAUUAUUAUAUAGUAUGCCUGUGUUGUCUUUUCAGGUGUGUUCUGACAGGUUGGCGCGGUAUAGUCACAACCGGGUAUUUCGGGCCGAACCGGGUUCGGGCCCGAAAUGAAAAUUAGAUUGAAUUAAUUGGCAUUUUAAUUGAUAUUUGAUAAUCUGAAAUUUAAUUGGGUUUGAAAUUGUGUGUUAAUGCCAUUUUUGCCCUUGUAUGUUUAAAGUGGAAGUUAUAUGGCCCUAAGGGCAUUUUAGUAAUUUGGCUUUAUGAGAUAAGUGUGUGAAAUGGCAUUUUUGACAAAAAAAGAAAAUAGAAUUUUCUGGUUGUAACUCUCUUGGCCGACCCCCCCUCUCUCUCUCAAACCCUUUUCUUUUUCAAUUUUGAUUUUUGAAGAAAUUGCUUGGUUUUGGCCUUGAAUUGAAGCUUUGAGUUUGUAGAUUUUUGAGCUUGUUCUUGGAUUGAGUUUGAGGAUUACCGGCACCUGAUCAGGAGCACCCGGGGAUUUGGAAUCUCCUUCUAUAGCUGGACAACAGGAAAGGGUAAGGCAUUAGCUGAUCUGCCAUGAGUUUUCAGGAGCAGGACGAAGAAUGUACAUGUUCACGCCACUUCAGACCAAGCGGGUUAUGGGUCUAACAGUGUUGACUUUUGUAUUCUGUUUUGCCGCUUAGGUCGGCUAGUAAGAAAGAACUUGUAAUAAUUUUGUAAAUAUUUUUGGGAU